AUAAUGUUGGUAGCUUGAUGAUUAAAGCUUUGGAGGAAUGUCGGAGUACAUGUGCGGAUCAAGCAACCUUUAAGGAAGAUGAUAAAGCAAGGAUUAUUACUGCAAGCACAGAGUAAGCAUUGAGGAAAUAUUAGUGGCGAAGUAAUAUCCUGCCAUUGUAAGAUAGUGAUCGACCUAGCAUGCAUUCA